rnacentral:lncRNA from 1 species
UCAAUCAAAAGCAAAAUAUCAUUAAAUGUUUUCAUUUAUUAAGAGACCACAUAAAAUUCCAACCAUUAUUAUAUUCCAAUUCUACUUAUAAACUCCAAUCGUUACUUCAAUUGAAAGUUUUGGCUUCUAUGGGUCCAACCACUAGGUUACAUAUCUCGAAAAAAGCAAGGGGCUAUAAUUGGUCGGAUAUGCUACUAUAUUUCAGUUAAUGUAAAAUUCCUUGUAACCCUACCCAUGC